AUGUUGUAUGAAAAGAGAUAAGUUAGCAUUCCCCUUGAUAAGAAUGGAAGAGGCCCUUCUGGCCUUUACAGCACAUAUAUGGUUAAGGCAUUGCCACUUACUUUGUGGUAUCUAACCAUCAUUUUUC